GGGGACCCGGGAACUCGUGCCAAGUGACUGGUGCUCGCUUUAGGCUCCUGCUACCUUCUGCGGGCGGAACGUGGGUGUCCCGGGAAGGGACGGACCCCAUCUCUACUAUGCCGCAAGCGCGUUGUGUCAACAGGCUGGCUGUGGACGGCCCGAUGAGCGUUACUUGAUUUUGUACUUUCGGCCACCUCCAAUUUUCUCAGAACGCAACAUAAGAAAAAAAAAAACUAACAGCAGUGUGUGCAGGAGAGCUUCGAAAAUAUGGGUGCUGAUGUUUGGUCACUGCUAUGGGGGAGGUCGCAGAGCUGAGAGUUGUCGGAGGACGUUUUCUGUCCUGUCUAGGAUUCUGGAAUUGAACCUGGGUUCCCACGCUUGUGCAGCCGUGUCUCCCCAGCCCCCGUUAAUACUGUGUCUGAAGUAGCCGCUCUUCUGAAGUCAGCUCUGCCUUCUACUUGACACGCCUUCCCUUACUCACUUCUCAUUUCAUUUUCUUACUGCGUUUGCCUCCAUUCAGUGUUGAUAUUUUAAAAUUGAAAUCUGUUAUUAUUUUGUCAUGUAGCCCAGGCUGGCCAAGAUCUUGCCUCCCUUUAAGCUUAUUUUAGGAAAAUUAUGCUUACUUGUAGGGUGCUUGUGACAGUGUCACCCAUACACACACUGUAUGACAUUAGAUUAUGCUAAGCCUGCCAUCUCUAUAAAUUCUUAGUUGUGAAACUCAAA
ensembl:lincRNA 2210406O10Rik RIKEN cDNA 2210406O10 gene